AUUGAACGCUGGCGGCAUGCUUUACACAUGCAAGUCGAACGGCAGCGCGGGCUUCGGCCUGGCGGCGAGUGGCGAACGGGUGAGUAAUGCAUCGGAACGUGCCCAGUAGUGGGGGAUAGCCCGGCGAAAGCCGGAUUAAUACCGCAUACGACCUGAGGGUGAAAGCGGGGGACCGAAAGGCCUCGCGCUAUUGGAGCGGCCGAUGUCGGAUUAGAUAGUUGGUGGGGUAAAGGCUUACCAAGGCGACGAUCCGUAGCUGGUCUGAGAGGACGACCAGCCACACUGGGACUGAGACACGGCCCAGACUCCUACGGGAGGCAGCAGUGGGGAAUUUUGGACAAUGGGGGCAACCCUGAUCCAGCCAUGCCGCGUGCGGGAAGAAGGCCUUCGGGUUGUAAACCGCUUUUGUUCGGGAAGAAAUCCUCUGGGCUAAUACCCCGGGGGGAUGACGGUACCGGAAGAAUAAGCACCGGCUAACUACGUG
rnacentral:rRNA from 1 species